UACGUAGGGUGCAAGCGUUGUCCGGAAUUAUUGGGCGUAAAGAGCUCGUAGGUGGUUUGUUACGUCUGCUGUGAAAACCUAGGGCUUAACCCUGGGCUUGCAGUGGAUACGGGCAGACUAGAGGUAGGUAGGGGAGAAUGGAAUUCCUGGUGUAGCGGUGAAAUGCGCAGAUAUCAGGAGGAACACCGGUGGCGAAGGCGGUUCUCUGGGCCGAUACUGACGCUGAGGAGCGAAAGCGUGGGGGAGCGAACAGG
rnacentral:rRNA from 1 species